rnacentral:rRNA from 1 species
AACGAACGCUGGCGGCAGGCCUAACACAUGCAAGUCGAACGCCGUAGCAAUACGGAGUGGCAGACGGGUGAGUAACGCGUGGGAACCUUCCCAAUGGUACGGAAUAGCUCAGGGAAACUUGUGGUAAUACCGUAUACGCCCGAAAGGGGAAAGAUUUAUCGCCAUUGGAUGGGCCCGCGUAGGAUUAGCUAGUUGGUGGGGUAAUGGCUCACCAAGGCGACGAUCCUUAGCUGGUCUGAGAGGACGACCAGCCACACUGGGACUGAGACACGGCCCAGACUCCUACGGGAGGCAGCAGUGGGGAAUAUUGGACAAUGGGCGCAAGCCUGAUCCAGCCAUGCCGCGUGAGUGAUGAAGGCCUUAGGGUUGUAAUGCUCUUUUAGCGGGGAAGAUAAUGACGGUACCCGCAGAAUAAGCCCCGGCUAACUUCGUGCCAGCAGCCGCCGUAACAC